rnacentral:tRNA from 1 species
GUCGGGAUAGCUCAGUUGGUAGCAGCAGAGG